AACUUCAACUGAAAAAGUCAUCAACAACAAAGUUGUAUAAUCCAUCUAGAUCUACAACUUUUAUUUUGAUCAUUUGUUCAUCCGACAAAGUGAUUUGUAACAUUGUUCACAAAAUGUAGAUAUCUCUUAUACAAUUUGUAAACUAUAGUAAAGAUAUGUAAAUUUUAAGAACAAUGUUACUAUCGCUUUGUCGGAUGAAGAAAUCACCAAAAUAAAAGUUAUAGACAUUGAUGAGUUAUACAAUUUUGUUGUUGAUGACUUUUUCAGUUGAAAUC
rnacentral:pre_miRNA from 1 species